GUAGGGAAUCUUCCACAAUGGACGCAAGUCUGAUGGAGCAACGCCGCGUGAGUGAAGAAGGCUUUCGGGUCGUAAAACUCUGUUAUUGAAGAAGAACGUGUGUGACAGUAACUGGUCAUGCAGUGACGGUAUUCAAUCAGAAAGUCACAGCUAACUACGUGCCAGCAGCCGCGGUAAUACGUAGGUGGCAAGCGUUGUCCGGAUUUAUUGGGCGUAAAGCGAGUGCAGGCGGUCUUUUAAGUCUGAUGUGAAAGCCUUCGGCUUAACCGAAGAAGGGCAUCGGAAACUGGGAGACUUGAGUGCAGAA
rnacentral:rRNA from 1 species